UACAGAGGGGGCAAGCGUUGUUCGGAAUUACUGGGCGUAAAGGGCGCGUAGGCGGCCUCCUAAGUCAGACGUGAAAUCCCUCGGCUCAACCGGGGAACUGCGUCUGAUACUGGGAGGCUUGAAUCCGGGAGAGGGAUGUGGAAUUCCAGGUGUAGCGGUGAAAUGCGUAGAUAUCUGGAGGAACACCGGUGGCGAAGGCGGCAUCCUGGACCGGUAUUGACGCUGAUGCGCGAAAGCCAGGGGAGCAAACGGG
rnacentral:rRNA from 1 species